GGCUGUCGUCAGCUCGUGUCGUGAGAUGUUCGGGUUAAGUCCCGCAACGAGCGCAACCCUUGUCACUAGUUGCCAUCAUUGGUUGGGCACUCUAGUGAGACUGCCGGUGACAAACCGGAGGAAGGUGGGGAUGACGUCAAGUCCUCAUGGCCCUUAUGGGUAGGGCUUCACACGUCAUACAAUGGUCGGUACAGAGGGUUGCCAAGCCGCGAGGUGGAGCCAAUCCCUUAAAGCCGAUCGUAGUCCGGAUCGUAGUCUGCAACUCGACUACGUGAAGUCGGAAUCGCUAGUAAUCGCAGAUCAGCAUGCUGCGGUGAAUACGUUCCCGGGUCUU
rnacentral:rRNA from 1 species